rnacentral:rRNA from 1 species
UGGGGAAUAUUGGACAAUGGGCGAAAGCCUGAUCCAGCCAUGCCGCGUGAGUGAUGAAGGCCUUAGGGUUGUAAAGCUCUUUCGCUAGGGAAGAUAAUGACGGUACCUAGAUAAGAAGCCCCGGCUAACUUCGUGCCAGCAGCCGCGGUAAUACGAAGGGGGCUAGCGUUGUUCGGAAUUACUGGGCGUAAAGCGCACGUAGGCGGACCGGUAAGUUAGAGGUGAAAGCCUGGAGCUUAACUCCAGAACUGCCUUUGAUACUGCCGGUCUUGAGGAUGAGAGAGGUGAGUGGAACUGCGAGUGUAGAGGUGAAAUUCGUAGAUAUUCGCAAGAACACCAGUGGCGAAGGCGGCUCACUGGCUCAUUUCUGACGCUGAGGUGCGAAAGCGUGGGGAGCAAACAGG